rnacentral:rRNA from 1 species
GACGAACGCUGGCGGCGUGCUUAACACAUGCAAGUCGAACGGAAAGGCCCUGCUUGCAGGGUACUCGAGUGGCGAACGGGGGAGUAACACGUGGGUGAUCUGCCCUGCACUUCGGGAUAAGCCUGGGAAACUGGGGCUAAUACCGGAUAGGAGCCAUUUUUAGUGUGAUGGUUGGAAAGUUUUUUCGGUGUAGGAUGGGCUCGCGGCCUAUCAGCUUGUUGGUGGGGUAAUGGCCUACCAAGGCGGCGACGGGUAGCCGGCCUGAGAGGGUGGACGGCCACAUUGGGACUGAGAUACGGCCCAGACUCCUACGGGAGGCAGCCGUGGGGAAUAUUGCACAAUGGGCGCGAGCCUGAUGCAGCGACGCCGCGUGGGGGAUGACGGCCUUCGGGUUGGAAACUCCUUUCGCUAGGGACGAAGCUUUUUGUGACGGUACCUAGAUAAGAAGCACCGGCUAACUACGUG